GAUGAACGCUGGCGGCGUGCCUAAUACAUGCAAGUCGAGCGAACAGAUGAGGAGCUUGCUCCUCUGACGUUAGCGGCGGACGGGUGAGUAACACGUGGAUAACCUACCUAUAAGACUGGGAUAACUUCGGGAAACCGGAGCUAAUACCGGAUAAUAUAUUGAACCGCAUGGUUCAAUAGUGAAAGACGGUUUUGCUGUCACUUAUAGAUGGAUCCGCGCCGCAUUAGCUAGUUGGUAAGGUAACGGCGUACCAAGGCAACGAUGCGUAGCCGACCUGAGAGGGUGAUCGGCCACACUGGAACUGAGACACGGUCCAGACUCCUACGGGAGGCAGCAGUAGGGAAUCUUACGCAAUGGGGGAAAGCCUGACGGAGCAACGCCGCGUGAGUGAUGAAGGGCUUCGGAUCGUAAAACUCUGUUAUGAGGGAAGAACAAAUGUGUAAGUAACUAAGCACGUCUUGACGGUACCUAAUCAGAAAGCCACGGCUAACUACGUG
rnacentral:rRNA from 1 species